UACGAAGGGGGCUAGCGUUGCUCGGAAUCACUGGGGGUAAGGGGAACGAAGGCGGCUUUUUAAGUCGGGGGUGAAAUCCUGGAGCUCAACUCCAGAACUGCCUUUGAUACUGAGAAGCUUGAGUCCGGGAGAGGUGAGUGGAACUGCGAGUGUAGAGGUGAAAUUCGUAGAUAUUCGCAAGAACACCAGUGGCGAAGGCGGCUCACUGGCCCGGUACUGACGCUGAGGUGCGAAAGCGUGGGGAGCAAACAGG
rnacentral:rRNA from 1 species